rnacentral:lncRNA from 1 species
AGUGCUGGGAUUACAGGCAUGAGCCACCACGCCUGGCCAGAGUUGUCUUGAUAGAGGUCUUGUAAUUAUUUGAAUUAGAAAAUUUUCUGUUAAAAUAUGUCCACAAAUUCUUUGGUAACCCUCCCUUCAAGAAGUGAAGCCUAAAUCCCUUCCCUUCCAGUGUGAGCUAGACUUAGUGACUCAGUUCUAUGAGUAAAAGUGGUGGAACUGAUAGUGUGACUUCUGAGACUAGGUCAUAAUAGGCAUUGUGGCUUCCUCCUUGCUCUCCCUCUCAGAUCACUUGCUCUGGGGGAAACCAGCAGCCAUGUUGUGAGGACACCCAAGCAGCUCUAUGGAGAGGCCUACAUGGAGAGUAACCAAGGUCCCCUAUCAAUAGCCAGCAAGGAACAGAAGCCUCCUGCCAACAGUCACGUAGCACGCAUACUUUCCCCAAGAUAGAAGCCCUGGGCCUGGGGGAUUGAGGUGUGGAGAUCUACCUGUCUCACGGCUGCUUGUGACCAUGCAUCUGACUACAAGAUUAUGAAGCUUUCCUGGCUGCCGAGGAGCUCAGCAGACUUGUUUAAAACUGAGACUGGUGACUGAACGAAAAAAAAUGUGACAGAAACCUGUACUGGGGCCCUUACCUGGGCCAGGCCAGGAUGAGGGAUACAUAGGUCAACAUCCUACGGAGCCUUUCACCAGGAGCUCAGGUAAGAGAGCAGAGACCGUCAUUAAGCUUCCAAAGAAAUGAAAUGCCCAAGAAUGCAUCUGGCUAUAAGUAUCAAAGAAGAUAGUUGAAAU